rnacentral:rRNA from 1 species
UGGGGAAUAUUGCACAAUGGGCGAAAGCCUGAUGCAGCAACGCCGCGUGAGUGAUGAAGGCCUUCGGGUUGUAAAGCUCUGUCUUUUGGGACGAUAAUGACGGUACCAAAGGAGGAAGCCACGGCUAACUACGUGCCAGCAGCCGCGGUAAUACGUAGGUGGCAAGCGUUGUCCGGAUUUUACUGGGCGUAAAGGAUGCGUAGGCGGAUUUUUAAGUGAGAUGUGAAAUACCCGGGCUUAACUUGGGUGCUGCAUUUCAAACUGGGAAUCUAGAGUGCGGGAGAGGAGAAUGGAAUUCCUAGUGUAGCGGUGAAAUGCGUAGAGAUUAGGAAGAACACCAGUGGCGAAGGCGAUUCUCUGGACCGUAACUGACGCUGAGGCAUGAAAGCGUGGGUAGCAAACAGGAUUAGAUACCCUGGUAGUCCACGCCGUAAACGAUGAGUACUAGGUGUAGGAGGUAUCGACCCCUUCUGUGCCGCAGUUAACACAAUAAGUACUCCGCCUGGGAAGUACGAUCGCAAGAUUAAAACUUAAAUGAAUUGACGGGGUCAUAGCUGUUU